rnacentral:ncRNA from 1 species
CCAACUGCUCGCAAUGUCAUGCGUUUCACAGACUGGCUUCCGUGAAAUGGGAUACUGGAGAAGCUUCACAGAUUUUCAAGCAACAUAUGCAGUUAUAGUUUAUUUGAUGGCCUUCUUUUACAUGGAUAACCAUGGUAAUUCUAUGGCUAAUACACGCGAAGAGGCCACCCCCUUUGGAGGGGCUCAGUUUAUUGGAUACAAAACCAACCCACUUUAGAAUGGAGUCUUGGUGAUUCAUAGCAACCGAACGGAUCGCAGGGGCUGUGCUUAUCAUAAAAAACAAACCCACUUUCGAGUGGGGUCUUCUUUUGGGCCCACGGUGGAUCACUCAAAUUUCUGACCUAUCAGCUUUCGACGUGAGGCUAUUGGCCUACCGUGGCAGUGGCGGUUAACAGGGAAUUAAGGUUCGAUUCCGGCGAGGGAGACUGAGAAACGGCUACCACUUCUAAGAAAGGCAACAGGCACGCAAUUUGCCCAAUGAAGGCUUCGCGGUAAUGACGAAAAACAACAAUACUGGGCAUUUUAUGCUUUGCAAUUGGAAUGACUGGAAUGUGAAACCUUUCCAGAGUAACAAUUGGAGGACACGUCUGGUCGCAGCAGACGCGGUAAUUUUAGCUCCAAUUGUGUAUAUUAGGGUUGUUGCAGUUGAAAAGGUCCUAGUUGGAUUUCUGUCGUGGGCAUCCAGCGCCGUAUGGAUGUGGGCCUGGCAUGCCCUUGGAUUAUUUCCGAUAGCCUUCCGAGCUUAAUGGCGUGUGUUGGUGUUCUGGAACCUUUUCUUUGAGACGAAUAGAACGUUUCAAGCAGGCAUGUCUCACUGAAUACUGAAGCAUGGAAUAAUAAGAUAAGACGUCGGCUCUAUUCUGUUGUUGGACCAAGGUAGUGAUUAUUAGGGACAGUCGGGGACAUUCGUAUUUAACUGCCAGAAGUAAAUUCUUAGAUUUUUCAAAGACGAACUACUGCGAAAGCAUUUGCCAAGGAUGUUUUCAUUAAUCAAGAACGACAGUAGGGGGUUUGAAGACAAGUAGAUACCGUCUCAAUCUCUACAAUACACUAUGUCGACUAGAGAUAGAGAAACGCCUACCUUGGCUCCUCCUGCACCUCAUGAGAAUCCACAGUCUCUGGGUUCUG